GAGCACGUAGGUGGGUUUGUAAGUCAGAUGUGAAAGCCUUCUGUUCAACGGAAGAAUUGCAUCUGAAACUGCUAAUCUUGAGUAUAGGAGGGGAGAAUGGAACUUCUGGUGGAGCGGUGGAAUGCGUAGAUAUCAGAAGGAACGCCGGCGGCGAAAGCGAUUCUCUGGCCUAUUACUGACACUCAGUGUGCGAAAGCUAGGGGAGCAAACGGGAUUAGAUACCCCGGUAGUCCUAGCCGUAAACGAUGGGCACUAAGUAGAGGGGUUUU
rnacentral:rRNA from 1 species